rnacentral:rRNA from 1 species
AGAGUGAACGCUGGCGGCAGGCCUAAUACAUGCAAGUCGAACGGCAGCACGGCAGAGCUUGCUCUGUGGGUGGCGAGUGGCGGACGGGUGAGGAAUACAUGGGAAUCUGCCCAGUCGUGGGGGAUAACGUAGGGAAACUUACGCUAAUACCGCAUGCGCCCUUCGGGGGAAAGCCGGGGACCUUCGGGCCUGGCGCGAUUGGAUGAGCCCAUGUCGGAUUAGCUAGUUGGCGGGUAACGGCUCACGAAGGCGACGAUCCGUAACUGGUCUGAGAGGAUGAUCAGUCCACACUGGAACUGAGACACGGUCCAGACUCCGUACGGGAGCAGCAGUGGGAAUAUAGGACUAAGUGGGACCGAAAGCCUGACUCCAGCCAUCGCCGCGUGUAGGUAGAAGAAGGUCUUACGGAUUAGUAAAGCGUAACGUUUAAGUUAGGGUAGGAAGGUUAA